rnacentral:rRNA from 1 species
GGCAUGCCUUACACAUGCAAGUCGAACGGCAGCACGGGUGCUUGCACCUGGUGGCGAGUGGCGAACGGGUGAGUGAUACAUCGGAACGUACCUUAUCGUGGGGGAUAACGCAGCGAAAGCUGUGCUAAUACCGCAUACGCCCUGAGGGGGAAAGCGGGGGAUCGAAAGACCUCGCGCGAUUAGAGCGGCCGAUGCCUGAUUAGCUUGUUGGUGGGGUAAAAGCCCACCAAGGCGACGAUCAGUAGCUGGUCUGAGAGGACGAUCAGCCACACUGGGACUGAGACACGGCCCAGACUCCUACGGGAGGCAGCAGUGGGGAAUUUUGGACAAUGGGGGCAACCCUGAUCCAGCAAUGCCGCGUGAGUGAAGAAGGCCUUCNGGUUGUAAAGCUCUUUUGUCAGGGAAGAAACACCG